rnacentral:rRNA from 1 species
GUGAGGAAUAUUGCGCAAUGGGCGAAAGCCUGACGCAGCGACGCCGCGUGAGGGAUGAAGGUUUUCGGAUCGUAAACCUCUGUCAGAAGGGAAGAAACUACGUUGUGCUAAUCAGCAGCGUACUGACGGUACCUUCAAAGGAAGCACCGGCUAACUCCGUGCCAGCAGCCGCGGUAAUACGGAGGGUGCACGCGUUAAUCGGAAUUACUGGGCGUAAAGCGCACGUAGGCUGUAGUGUAAGUCAGGGGUGAAAUCCCACGGCUCAACCGUGGAACUGCCUUUGAUACUGCACAACUUGAAUCCGGGAGAGGGUGGCGGAAUUCCAGGUGUAGGAGUGAAAUCCGUAGAUAUCUGGAGGAACAUCAGUGGCGAAGGCGGCCACCUGGACCGGUAUUGACGCUGAGGUGCGAAAGCGUGGGGAGCAAUCAGGAUUAGAUACCCGGGUAGUCC